AUACGGAGGACGCGAGCGUUAUCCGGAUUCAUUGGGUUUAAAGGGUGCGCAGGCGGCCGUGCAAGUCAGCGGUGAAAGCCCGGGGCCCAACCCCGGAAGUGCCGUUGAUACUGCAUGGCUUGAAUGCGGUCGAGGCGGGCGGAACGGGGCGUGUAGCGGUGAAAUGCGUAGAUAUGCCACAGAACGCCGAUAGCGGAGGCAGCUCGCCAGGCCUGCAUUGACGCUCGGGCACGAAAGCGUGGGGAUCGAACAGGAUUAGAUACCCUGGUAGUCCACGCCGUAAACGAUGGGCGCUCGUCGUCGGCGGCAGACAGUCGGCGGCCAAGCGAAAGCGAUAAGCGCCCCACCUGGGGAGUACGGUCGCAAGGCUGAAACUCAAAUGAAUUGACGGGG
rnacentral:rRNA from 1 species